GACGAACGCUGGCGGCGCGCUUAACACAUGCAAGUCGAACGGAAAGGCCUGCUUUCCCUUGUGGAUUGCGGGUACUCGAGUGGCGAACGGGUGAGUAACACGUGAGUGAUCUGCCCCCAACUUGGGUAUAAGCCUGGGAAACUGGGUCUAAUUCCCGAUAGGACUGCAGGGUGGUGCCUGUGGUGGAAAACGAUUUUCUAGUGGUUGGGGAUGGGCUCGCGGCCUAUCAGCUUGUUGGUGGGGUAAUGGCCUACCAAGGCGGCGACGGGUAGCCGGCCUGAGAGGGUGGACGGCCACAUUGGGACUGAGAUACGGCCCAGACUCCUACGGGAGGCAGCAGUGGGGAAUAUUGCACAAUGGGCGGAAGCCUGAUGCAGCGACGCCGCGUGGGGGAUGACGGCCUUCGGGUUGUAAACUCCUUUCGACCGCGAGGAAGCCACCUGGUUGGAAGGGUGGUGACGGUAGUGGUAGAAGAAGCACCGGCUAACUACGU
rnacentral:rRNA from 1 species